CAUUAAUGAAAAAAUGGGUUGUUGCUGGCCCUACGGGGCAAGUGCACGCCCUUGUCCAUAAUUUUACACCUGUGCACCACCUGUAGCUUGGGUUUGAUGAAAGCCCUUGCUAUGAUUUUUACAAACAAAAACAAGUUUAUAGAAUGUACAAACAAAAAAAUAAAUACAACUUUCAGCAACGGAUCUCUUGGCUCUCGCAUCGAUGAAAAACGCAGCGAAAUGCGAUAAGUAAUGUGAAUUGCAGAAUUCAGUGAAUCAUCGAAUCUUUGAACGCACCUUGCGCUCCUUGGUAUUCCGAGGAGCAUGCCUGUUUGAGUGUCAUGAAAUUCUCAACUGCUUCGUAUUUGAAGUGAAGUUGGACUUUGGAGGGUUUGCUGGCUUUGUCGGCUCCUCUUGAAUGAAUGAAAGUAUCAGACCGAUGUGAUAACUAAUCUACGUUGGAAUGUGAAAACACCCAGGAGGAUGUUAUAAAAAUUUGACCUCAAAUCAUGUAGGACUACCCGCUGAACUUAAGCAUAUCAAUAAGCGGAGGAAGUAUUUUUUUUGUCUGGCAUGGCAUGUUAUUUCCUUUGCUAACCUAUCCAAAGGCGUAUUCUUGCUUGUCUCUGC
rnacentral:rRNA from 1 species